rnacentral:tRNA from 1 species
AGGGUAAUAGCUCAGUGGUAGAGCACACGCUUUGCAUGCACGAGGUGCUGGGUUCAAUCCGCAGUAUCUCUA